UACGAAGGGGGCUAGCGUUGUUCGGAUUUACUGGGCGUAAAGCGCACGUAGGCGGUUCUUUAAGUCAGAGGUGAAAUCCCAAGGCUCAACCUUGGAACUGCCUUUGAUACUGGGGAUCUUGAGUCCGGGAGAGGUGAGUGGAACUGCGAGUGUAGAGGUGAAAUUCGUAGAUAUUCGCAAGAACACCAGUGGCGAAGGCGGCUCACUGGCCCGGUACUGACGCUGAGGUGCGAAAGCGUGGGGAGCAAAUAGG
rnacentral:rRNA from 1 species